rnacentral:lncRNA from 1 species
UGAUCAACUAUUGAAGAGGUUGAUGAACUCAAGACCACCAUGGCAAAAUUAGAAAGAGAAAAUGAAGAGUUGAAGUUAAAACUCCAACAAGUCAUCAAUGAGAAAAACACCAUGAAGUGGGAACUUGAGAGAAACGAUAUACAACUUCAGGCAAAUAUGGAAAAGUUUAACAAAGAGGAGCAUAAGAGGAAAAAGAUCAAAGUGGGACUAGAAC